UAUACUUAUUCCGUGAAUUGCAACUAAUCUAAACUUGUAGAGCAAAGUAUGAGAUAUCUUGUAGUCGGCAAUGAAUGGGCUGAACAACAGUCAUGUUCUUGCAAAAAUUUCAAAGCAAUUUUGGUUUCAAUGUACAGUCUAUUGCAAAAAGUUUUGUGCAUGAAGGGAAAAGGUUUGGCUUACUCGCAGAACAAAAGAGCAAUUCUAGUCAUUCGUUCAGGAUCUGAUUACGUAAGAUACACAGUGGCGCAAACAAUGAGCCUGGUUGCCUAGUAAUCAGGAUAGACAGGAAUAUCUAGAGUGACGAAAUACAUUUCACAAAAAG
rnacentral:lncRNA from 1 species